rnacentral:rRNA from 1 species
GACGAACGCUGGCGGCGUGCUUAACACAUGCAAGUCGAACGGAAAGGCCCUGCUUUUGUGGGGUGCUCGAGUGGCGAACGGGUGAGUAACACGUGAGUAACCUGCCCUUGACUUUGGGAUAACUUCAGGAAACUGGGGCUAAUACCGGAUAGGAGCUCCUGCUGCAUGGUGGGGGUUGGAAAGUUUCGGCGGUUGGGGAUGGACUCGCGGCUUAUCAGCUUGUUGGUGGGGUAGUGGCUUACCAAGGCUUUGACGGGUAGCCGGCCUGAGAGGGUGACCGGCCACAUUGGGACUGGGAUACGGCCCAGACUCCUACGGGAGGCAGCAGUGGGGAAUAUUGCACAAUGGGCGGAAGCCUGAUGCAGCAACGCCGCGUGCGGGAUGACGGCCUUCGGGUUGUAAACCGCUUUCGCCUGUGACGAAGCGUGAGUGACGGGAAUGGGUAAAGAAGCACCGGCUAACUACGUG